ACGGGGACAGCCGGUAGAAAUCCGGAUAAUACCGGAUGAUCUCUUUUGGAAUAAAGGCGAAAGAGGAAAGCGGCUCCGCCGCGCGGGUGGAGCGGUCCGCGUCCUAUCAGCUAGUCGGCGGGGUGAAGGCCCGCCGAGGCGACGACGGGUAUCCGGCCUGAGAGGGUGGACGGACACAUUGGGACUGAGAUACGGCCCAGACUCCUACGGGAGGCAGCAGCUAAGAAUAUUCCACAAUGGGGGGAACCCCGACGGAGCGACGCCGCGUGGACGACGAAGGCCGGAAGGUUGUAAAGUCCUUUUUUCCGCGAGGAAUAAGGCCGGGAGGGAAAGCCCGGCCGGUGACGGUAGCGGAGGAAUAAGCACCGGCUA
rnacentral:rRNA from 1 species